CAAACAGGGGUGCUAUUUUAAUGGCUGAGAUUAUACCCUAAACCUGAUACAGGUAAUACUGGCGUAGGGAGUUUAUGUUUUUU
rnacentral:ncRNA from 1 species